UACCAGCACCCCGAGUGGUCGGGACGAUUAUUGGGCCUAAAGCAUCCGUAGCCGGUUCUGCAAGUCCCCCGUUAAAUCCAGCUGCUCAACAGAUGGGCCGCGGAGGAUACUACAGAGCUAGGAGGCAGGAGAGGCAAGCGGUACUCAGUGGGUAGGGGUAAAAUCCGUUGAUCCAUUGAAGACCACCAGUGGCGAAGGCGGCUUGCCAAUACGCGCUCGACGGUGAGGGAUGAAAGCUGGGGGAGCAACCGG
rnacentral:rRNA from 1 species